ACUCAUGUAAGUAACCACUACUGGUUAAAUUAAUAAAAAACUUAAAAAAGUGAAGUGAAUGGUUUAGUACCGAGUUCAAGGCGGUGGGAGGAACAACGACGGCCGUCACAAGGCCGUGGCGGAGCAGCGACGCAAGGCGGCGGCGGAGCAGCGACGGCGGCAGCGCAAGGAGGUGAGGGGAGCGACGGCGGUGGCGCCGCAAGGAGGUUGGGAGCAGCGGCGACAACGCAAGGAGGUGAGGGGAGCAACAGCGGCGGAGAGCUGUGGGUAGAUAGAGAGUUAGAGAGAAAGAGAUGAAGAAAGAGAAAGAAAGAAAGAGAAGAGAGAGAGAGAAAACAGUUCAUCAAGCACUUCAUUUUAUUACACGAAAAAAAUACCUAAACAAUUGCGUAAAUCAUCAAUUCUAAUUUUUUCACAUAGUUCAAACUUAUUACAAGUGCCCAACAUCAAUCCAUGAAACAAUAAAAAAAAUACAACAAAUUACCUCAUACAGAUUAGAGACUCAUGCGGCGGAAUACAUCGAAAUAUUGAUUAUGUUCAUCGAUUGAGGCCGGAAUACAGAUCCUAUUCAUCGGCAAUACAAAUCGUCAUCGAAAUACGGAUCCCGUACAACGGCAAUAAAUUUGUAUAUAUUUACUUUUUAAAAAUCAAGUUCAAUUAAAUAUUUACAUUAUAAAUUAACUCAUAACCAACAAAUCAUAACCAACAAAUACAGAGAAAAUACACAAUUACGUGCAUAUGUUACUACAUGUCCCUACAUGUGAUUAUAUAUGACUAUAGUUAAAUCUUCAUAUAUAUUCAAAAUAUACAGAACCAUACACGAGACACCUCUACCAUUAGGUAUGAUAUGGUAUCAUUUAUACCACCCAAAAUCUCGAAAAAGAGUAGCAGCUGGAUUGUUGUAAGCCAUACAGGUUUCCAAAAAAACAAAUAGUAAACCAGUAGAUAAAUGAAAUUAAAAAAGUAAACCAGAAGAGAAAUAGAAAAAAAAAUCAAUUUCCACAAUGUUUAAAAUGUCACAUCAUAAUAACAAAACAAAAGCAUAUAUAUAUAAAGUAUGUAUACAUUAAAAAACAAUUGGUAAAAACACAAAUCUGAAAAAUCAUUUGAAGAUCUUCGAUCUGUUGAAGAACAAAAAAUAAACAUAAAAAAAUAAAAAAGUAAAACGUACUGUGGUCCUCAAAAUUAGACAAGAACACCCCCGAUCUUGGCCGAUCUAUCGUCUUCCCAUCCUUGACUGGUCUCAAAAUCUCACGGCGGCGGCGACGCUUCCCCUUCUCCGGCUUGGGCUAGCUUAACAUCUCUCGGCGGCGGCAGCGGUGGCUUAACAUCUCUCGGCAGCGGCAGCGGCGGCCUCCCGGUUUGAAGCGGAUCAAUCGAAAAAAUAUGGUGGACGGUUGUGGUGUGGAUGGAAGAGAGAGAACUAGGGUUUGGAUGUACAACGAGAAAAGAAAGAAAGGAGAUAACGGCAUAUGGAGAGUGAGACGAGAAACGACGUGGCUUUACCUUAUUUCACAAAAAUUGCUAAUUAAGGGUAAAAAAGUCACAUCACUAUG
rnacentral:lncRNA from 1 species